rnacentral:lncRNA from 1 species
AUUUGUCCAUGUUAUUUUGAGAAUGUCAUCUCAGUUUCAAGAAAUGAGCCGAACCAAUUGAGAAAAACUGUAAGAUAUCCUUUAUGCACACAUUAUAGUAAGCAUUAUUGGGUAAAAUAAAGUCAAUUAAUCAGACAAUUUCAUUGGCUUACAGAAAUAAUCGUUCAACGUGUUUCCACUUAGCCUAGAUCAUAUAAACAUGCAUAAAAGUUUGCACAGUCAGAGCACCUAGCAACCCCCCUGCAUGUCAAAAUACUGUUAUAAACACUGUGUAUCAUAAAAAUAGCUUAAUAUAUGAUAAUAAUAAAUUUUUGGCCUAUCACUUUAAGCACUAUAUUAACUUUUCAUAUAAAACUUGAGCUGAUAUUUCAUUUUCUAAAGUUUAUAAAACAGUAAUUUUCCUGAUCUUUGUUUUUAGACCAUCAUAACCAAACAGAAACAAAUCAGCAGCUGCGGAAUGAGAUACAACAUAAAGAUGAAGAGAUCAGACUUUGGAAAACUCUUUUUAUCCUGUCUGGCCUGAUAAUGUGCAUUAUGCUCAUUACUGUAAUCGGUUUCAUUAUAAGCCACUGCAGUGGGUCUCCAAACAACGGUUUACAGCAGAAUGAAGAGUCCGGCAUAAUAAAGAAGCUGUACACAGUAAUGGAACAGAACGGCCGCAGAAGUAGCACCUUCACUGUGGUGGAGUUUACUCAGCUUAGCUCUGUUCUGUAGGAUCAACCACACAUGUGGUCACUAUACACAUCAACUGCCAAACACACGGGAAACAGAGAAACACUGCCUCUUUUUACAAAAUUAAUUUAAAAAACUCCACAGACAUUAGUAUUGCGUUAUUGUGUGCUGCUGUUAACUCCCAAAAAAUAAGGCAGGAAUUUCUAAUAAAUUAUGUAUUAAGAACA